AGUCCGUGGUGUGGGCAUUUCUGAAUCAACAUUUUAAAGUGCUCCCAAGCUUCAUGGAAACUUUCUCCUUCUAAUUUCUUAAACGCAGCAAUCUCUCUCCUUAGCU
rnacentral:snoRNA from 1 species